GAACGCACAUUGCGCCCGCUGGUACUCCGGCGGGCACGCCUGUCCGAGCGUCAUUUCAACCCUCAAGCCCUCCUUCGGGAUGGGCCUGGUGUUGGGGCCCGGCCGCCAUCUCCGGCGGCCGUCCCCUAAAUACAGUGGCGGUCACGUCGCGACUCCUUUUCGUAGUAGAAACACCUCGCUCCGGAUAGCAACGCGGUCCACGCCGUAAAACCCCCAAUUUUCAAUGGUUGACCUCGGAUCAGGUGGGAAUACCCGCUGAACUUAAG
rnacentral:misc_RNA from 1 species